rnacentral:rRNA from 1 species
CACGUAGUUAGCCGGUGCUUAUUCUUACGGUACCGUCAUGAGCCCCAGGUAUUAACCAGAGCCUUUUCGUUCCGUACAAAAGCAGUUUACAACCCGAAGGCCUUCAUCCUGCACGCGGCAUUGCUGGAUCAGGCUUGCGCCCAUUGUCCAAAAUUCCCCACUGCUGCCUCCCGUAGGAGUCUGGGCCGUGUCUCAGUCCCAGUGUGGCUGGUCGUCCUCUCAGACCAGCUACAGAUCGUCGGCUUGGUGAGCCUUUACCCCACCAACUACCUAAUCUGCCAUCGGCCGCUCCAUUCGCGCAAGGUCUUGCGAUCCCCUGCUUUCAUCCGUAGAUCGUAUGCGGUAUUAAUCCGGCUUUCGCCGAGCUAUCCCCCACGAUUGGGCACGUUCCGAUGUAUUACUCACCCGUUCGCCACUCGUCAGCAUCCGAAGACCUGUUACCGUUCGACUUGCAUGUGUAAGGCAUGCCGCAGCGUUCAAUCUGAGCCAGGAUA